rnacentral:lncRNA from 1 species
UUGGUUUAAUUAUGUUAUUCUCUCUUUUGUGGCUCCAAAUCGUUUGCCAACUAAUCAGCACAUGAAGCAGCUAGGAUCUCCUUAUGAUCGACAUAUCAGAGCUUGUGUUAACUAGUGACAGAUUUGCCUUGAUUUCAGUACUCCAGAGACAGCGCGAUAGAAAGCCUAUUCCGGAUUUCCGGUGACAGCUAAACUUCUGAAUUCCAUGUAUUGUUGAUAUAUCAGUCUUAGAAUUCCAUGUAUUGUUGAUAUAUCAGUCUUAUACAUCAAAAGGCUUAUUGACGUGUAGAUAGAUAAUUAUGUUAUUCUCUUUUUUGUGGCCCCAAUCAAUAAAUAUCGUU